rnacentral:rRNA from 1 species
GUCCUCUUGAUUAUAUUUUGAGGUCUGGCCUGCUCACUGACAAGGUUUUGAAGAGCCGCGGUAUUUUGACCGUGCAAAGGUAGCAUAAUCAUUAGUCUCUUAAUUAGGGGCUGGAAUGAAUGGCUUGACGAGAAAUCAACUGUCUCUUAAUAAUUUUUAAAAUUUAACUUUUGAGUCAAAAGGCUUAAAUUUUUCUUUAGGACGAGAAGACCCUAUAGAGCUUAACAUUUUAUUUUUAUAUAGUUUUUAGUUGAUCUUUCUAUAUUUAAUGAUAAUGUUUUGUUGGGGUGACAUGAAGAAUAAUUAAACUCUUCAUUAUAAAAUCAUUGAUUUAUGUUUAUCAUGAUCCAUAAUUUAUGAUCAUAAGAUUAAGUUACCUUAGGGAUAACAGCGUAAUUGUUUUCGAGAGCUCAUAUCGACAAAGCAGAUUGCGACCUCGAUGUUGGAUUAAGAAAAAUUUUGGGUGCAGGAGCCCAAUAAUUAGGUCUGUUCGACCUUUAAAUUCUUACA